rnacentral:rRNA from 1 species
AUUGAACGCUGGCGGCAGGCCUAACACAUGCAAGUCGAGCGGCUGCAGGGAGUAUGCUCCUGGAUUCAGCGGCGGACGGGUGCGUAAUGCCUAGGAAUCUGAAUGGGAGUGGGGGAUAAGGUUCAGUAACGGGCGCUAAUACUGCUAACGUAUUGAGGGAGAAAGUGGGGGAUCUUGGGACCUCAGGCUCUCAGAUGAGCCUCGGUCGGAUUAGCUAGUUGGUGGGGUAAAGGCCUACCAAGGCGACGAUCCGUAACUGGUCUGAGAGGAUGAUCAGUCACACUGGAACUGAGACACGGUCCAGACUCCUACGGGAGGCAGCAGUGGGGAAUAUUGGACAAUGGGCGAAAGCCUGAUCCAGCCAUGCCGCGUGUGUGAAGAAGGUCUUCGGAUUGUAAAGCACUUUAGGUUGGGAGGAAGGGCAUUAAGUUAAUACCUGGCUGUGUUGACGUUACCAACAGAAUAAGCACCGGCUAACUUCGUG